AUGUCAGCUCCUGCAAGCCCGGCAAUGGAGUCACCUCCAUCCGCGACGAUAGCCUCGACUUCUACUGGCAGUCGGACGGCGUGCAACCGCACCUGGUCAACAUCCAGUUCCAGAAGAAGGUGCAGCUGCAGCUUGUUGUGCUCUACAUGGAUUUUAAGCUGGACGAGAGCUACACGCCCAGCAAGAUCUCCAUCCGGGCCGGCGACGACUUCCACAAUCUCAAGGUAA
rnacentral:rRNA from 1 species